UAGUAAGACAGUGGGGGAUAAGCUCCAUUGUCAAGAGGGAAACAGCCCAGAUCAUUAGCUAAGGCCCCCAAAAACUGCUAAGUGCGAAAGGCGGUGGAAGUGCACAAACAACCAGGAGGUUUGCUUAGAAGCAGCAAUCCUUUAAAGAGUGCGUAAUAGCUCACUGGUCGAGUAAGUCCGCACCGAAAAUGUACGGGACUAAGUGGUUUGCCGAAGCUAUGGAAUAGUUAAAGUAUUAUUGGUAGGGGAGCGUUCUGUUGUAGGUUGAAGCGGUAGUGAAAACGGUCGUGGACAAAGCAGAAGUGAGAAUGUUGGCUUGAGUAGCGAAAACAUUGGUGCGAAUCCAAUGCCCUGAAAACCUAAG
rnacentral:rRNA from 1 species